GCAUAGUUGGGGGGCGGGGAGCACCCGAGCCGCAGAGGGGGGUUCCUAUGGCGUUGCUCCGGGAAAGGGCUGCUUUGAUCGUGGGUGAAGCAGAAAGCCUUUCCUUGUCACAAUGGAUGAAAACCUUUACGUCUCUCAACUUCAUCUUCAAAGGACACCAAGUCCCUGAGCUUCAUUUCAUUCCUCUUUGGUCUUCUGAAGAGGGAGAAAUAGCUGGUGCUCACAGUCCCAGGCCCCGAGGUGCUGUUCCGAGAUGUCUUUGCUCCUGGUGUCUGAACAGACUGAGCCUUCAUUCCUGGCCUGGCACGGAGAUGAGAAGGAAUUUCUCCAGGAAUGUGGUACACCUCGGAACUCGGGAGUAACCAGAGAAGACUGUGUUGAUGUGGUGGUGCAUGCCUGUAAUCCCAGCACUCAGGAGGCUGAGGCAGGAGGAGUGCUUUGAGUUCAAGGCCAG